CUUUGAAACAGCUUGACUUCCGUCUUUUAUAGGUUAUCUACAGUGAGCACACAGUGGGUUCACAUGUGCUGUAUGAUUGAUAUUGUAAUAUGAAUAAUAGUAUCACCAGGGAAAUGCCAUGUUUGUUAAUAAACAGGUGUGAAGUCGUGCGUAUGCAGUUGUGUACUUUGGUCUCAAACUAACCUCCUAAAGACUUUACCACUGAAAACCACUGACCCAUAAUCUGCUUUGAUCCAUUUGGGGACACGGCUUUUGGCCCUGAUUGGACAAGCCGUCUCCAAUUAACUGGUGUUUAGUGAGAGAGUGUGCUAAAUCCCCCUCACAGUCAGGCUCCUCUUCUGACCCUGUGACCUGCGGCUGCCUGGUAAAAGGUGACUUCAACGUCUAAUAGCCUGAAAAACAUUCUGGAGACAGAGUCCAGCUGAUUAAGUAAGUGCUGCUCCUCAGCUUAUUUUCCUCACUGUGUGAAAGCUCUGCGGACAAUCAUUAAAAACACUCUCUAACACUUGGUGUCCCAAAAUAAGUGAGACCACAGUUAUUAUUGUACCACUCCAUCUCUGCAUUUGUUUAACCACCUGUAGGGAACUGAGAAUGAGCUUACUUGGACCUGCAUUUUGACCCGUAAAUAGCUGAUGUUUUAAAAAAUUUGUGCAUUUGCACUCAAAUUUUUCUUGAUUAUUACUUUUCGAUCCAGUUUAGCACCUGGACCUGAACAGAUAUCCAAAUCUGGGUCAAAGGUCUCUUGGUUAAUUAGGGGCAAUUAGGAGCACCUGUGAUUUUCUUUUGUUGAAAGCGAUCAGUUCAGGCUGGGAGGCUAUAAAAGGAGGCUGAGCUCUCCUGUUCGGGAUUUUUGCUCCUCUGAAUCAACACUUCCAAGAGAUUUCUGUGUUUGUUGUAUUUCCUCCCAGAUCUUUGACUUCCCUUUUUUUAUAUUGUUGUUUUGGGUCCAGUCUUAUGGGCCCAUUUUGCUUUCAGUUCAACCCCUCCAUAUCAGCUCCUCCCUGGAUGCGUUAGUUACUCCUGUUGCAUUCCUACAUCUCUUGAGAGCAAUGAUUUCCAAAAGGACUGUCAAGUUUCCAUUCAUCAGACCGCAGGAUUUUCCAUCUCAUUUAGUCCAUCUUAAAUAAGCUUUGGCUCCAAAGUCGUUUACUUUUCUGAGUCAUGUCUAAAGAUUUCAUGAAUGCAUCAACAAGUUGUGGUUUUGAGCCCAUGCAGUGAUUCCCACUGCAGAGUCAUUUAUGUUUUCAAAGCCGUACACCCUGAGGACCUGUAGAUUUUCAAUCUUGUGCACAUUGUACAAAGAUUUCUUCAGCUACUUUGAACCGUUCAGUAAUUUUUAAGUACUUUAGGUGGUGAAAUCCCCAAACUCUUUGUAAGAGAACGUGUAGACGAAAGUUCAGCAGUUUCGGAAUGAUGUUUUUCAGCAUAAAAAUACUUCUCUUCAUGUUUUGAAGGACUCAAACCCCCCUGAAAUACACUUUAUGCCGAGACCUUUCACUUGUGUCCUAAAUUAACAGUAUGACAAUGGUAACUUGCAAAAUUGCUUUAGUGUUUUGUUUUGCCACAUAUGAAGACAAACUUAGCAAAGAGUUAAGAGGUAACCGCAAGAUGUGAACCAUGAAGUUCCUCCCACAAGAGCUAUAUAAGGAAAAUUUUAUUCACUGCUUUGUUUGCUCAGUUAGAUAACAUUUUAAUUCUGCUCUUUCCAUGGUGCUUCCUACCUCAUCUCCCUGAGCAGAUUUGUUAACUCCACAUGGUAAUUACACAGCUCAUGGUCUCAUGACGGUCUCUGCCAUCAUAUCUGACACUUCUGCCCUCCCAGGUGCUGACACAGAGCAGCGCCCUCACACCGCGAGGUGCUGACACCGACAUAUGCUCUUUUGUGAAAAAGGAUUCCUUCGUGGUCUCCUCCUUCGUCCCUGCUGCAGGUGGAUCAGACAUCACAGUGCUUUUCUAAUCGAACUUAAUCUCUCUGCCUCUCAGCAGCUUGACCUUGACUUUCACAUGCACCGUAGGCGCUUGUAGCAUGCAGUGGGUAUUAUAGAUUUGUCAUUUAUUUGCUCAUUAAUCAUCUCCACACCCCAGCACAGUUAGGAUAUCCAUGAGAAGCUUUCGUGGCAUACAUACUCAUGCAGACAAGCCUGGAUAAACAGUCUCCUAUGAUCUAUCUCCACCAUCGCCAUCUCUAUGCAGGUACACAACCAUAAGCAUGUUUACUGACGCCUCCAUAAACAAAGGCCCAAAAUAAAUAGGCCAUGCAUUAUUUCAGCCAGAUACACGGCUUACACAUGUAAUCCGACUGUCAUGUUCUUGUGCACGCUCUCCAUCAACAUGAAACGAUAAAUAGGGGAUGGUUGCAUAGAGGUGAUCAUGUAAACAAAAGGAGAGGAUGCUUAUUAAGAGACAACUGGUGGAGAGGUCUAAUGUAAGAGUCAGGAGGGAGGUUUUAAGCUAAAUAAGGAGAUGAGACAGGGUAUGGAUAUAGAUUUCUUCACUCUGCAGCCUGUCUUGGUUACCACCUCCAGUUUAAGAAGUUUGGUUUACUGCAUCUUUGUUAGUUAUUUGUACUUCUCUUUUUCAAUCCUACGAAAGUAUGCAAAGGAACACAAUAUUGAAUUAUUAUUUAAUUAUUGUUAUUGAAUUACCCUCCGGGAAUCAAUUAAGUUCUCCUUCUUCUCUUUAUUCAUCUCCAGCAUAGAUGCAAUCAGACUUAAAAGAACCUGCAUGCAUGCUGGUUUUAAUGUACCUUACAAGACUUAUGAUGCACCACCACCAUGCAGCCCAGAUUGGUACAGAAAACCUUGAUCUUGCUUGUGUUUUCACUGCAGACUGUUUCCCAUCCUGGCUCUUGAAUAUGUGACUGCUUCAGAAUGGCACAAAUUUUGGCAUUCAUGUCAGCUGAUUGGACUAUUCAAACUAACAACAUGAGUAACAUCCAAUUAGUGUAGAUCUUGACUUAAGACAGACAAUAAUUUACCCACGGGCUAUUGGUUUCAUUCAAUCUGUAUUCAGCUAUUUAUGUCACAAACAUAAAAAAAGAGACUCCCUGUGCUUCUAUUAUUAAGUUAUUUCUAAGACGUUUAAUGUUUAUCAUUUUCUAUCACAGCUCUUAUCUGCAUCUAACUCUAUGCCUCUACUGCUGUGCAUACAUGGAGCAUCCAUUAAUAUGCCAUACAGCUCCUAAAACUAUGUAUAUUUCACAAAGCAUGAAUAAAAAAAAUAGUGCUCCUCUGAAAUACUUUUCAAAAUAAAACCCCAGUCUUUGUUUUUCUGUGGAGAGACUCCUAUUGUUUUUUGUGCAAUGGUUAUAUUCUGGAGUUGUUUCUUUGUCAUAAUUUGGUGAAAGAAGUAACAUUUACAAUGUCUCAUCUUUUGCAAUCUCCUUCUCCACUCGCAUCGAUCUCUGUGCUCCUUUGUGUGGAUAUGCACUGUUUAUACCCCACCACCACCACUUUUGCAGAACUUUACAAAAUAAAGUUCUGAACUGUUCUUUUAUUUUUUUUUUAUCUAAGGAGAGAUUUUUUUUUUCUUUCAUAUGGAGAUUUUACUCUGAAGUUGUUUCCGGGACACUUAUUUGGUGAAAACAGGACAUUGACAUUGUGACCACCUUUUCUAUUUGCAUCCAACAAUAGACUGUAUAUAGAAUGGACGCCGUCUGCGUGUCAUUGCACCUCAUAUAGAGAAGCCAUCAUGUUAUAUUGUAGUAGCUUUUGCAUAUGGACCGAGGUGAGUCUGGUGAUCAUUUUCUGCUUUUUCAAUGUUAGCCACCAUUUUUCAUUAUAAACUGAGCAUCAGGAUCCAGUGAAGGUGAACUAAAAGCUUAUUAGUGUAGCUGUUCAAGGGCUCAGUAAGGGGGCUGGUGUUUUGUGCCUGGCUAAUUGCUUACAAUAAAGUCCAACAUUUUCUUAUUGAUAAAAAAAAAGUUCUGGGAGUUUGUGUUGAUCAAGAAAGACCCAGACGAAAGAAAGUCCCAGAAGUUUCUACCAAAAAAAAAAAAAAGAUGAACAACAAAGAGAGGCGACACAGGCAAGACUUCCCGUCUUGCUUGUUUGUCGUGUCUAAUUCUUUCCUGUCUAACUGGAGGCGAGGUGUUUAAUUCUGUAAGCGUGGAAAUUCUCUUUUGAAUCCAUUUCAAGCUGAGAUAAGAGGUCAGGAGAAGUUGUUCAGUCUCUUAUCUCCCCCACAAACUUUGAAGUAUCAGGGCUUACAUCAUCACCACACGGCGCAUUUACAUCAAACUUUGUAAAUUUUUCGGGUUCAGUGGUCUGCAGGAUGAAGAGAAUCUGUAGGAGUGAAGAAGUUGCGGUGAAGGGAGAGUAGGGGAUGUGUGACAGUGACCUCCCUGUGGCUCUGACCAUCCUUUUCCACCUCAUUUAUCUCUCCACAGCCUGACUGAGGAUUUAUCCACCUGAUUACCCAGCGGGUAUCCCACCCAUCUAUCCCCUCCUCGCCCUGUUACGCUCAGCAGGGACAUCUCAGGGUUUCAGUCCGUGACACAGAGCUCAGUGCAGAAUUAGCUGCUUCUAAAAUCAGGAACUCUGGAGUUAAAAACUGGUCAAGGUUUUACUUUUUUUAAGCAGAGCUCUGUGUUUACAACUCGGCAUACAAAAAAAUGCACGUUAUUGCAGUCUUUGUUGAUUGUAAGUGUUUUCUAAUCAAUUUAGACCUUUUGACAAAAUCUACUCUGGCUAAAGUGAAGACAUCCAUCUGCUUCUUGUCCACAGUUGAAAGAAGGCUGGACCCAAUCAGCUGCCACUGGCUGAGAGGUGCAGUACACACUGCAUAGAUCAGCGGUCUAUCACAGGGCUGAAUCAGAGAGAUAAACAACCAGAAGCCCUCAAACUCACACCAAUGAGCAAUCAGAAGCCACUGAUCGACCUCACAAGGAUGUCUUUAGGCAGUGUGAGAGAGCCGUAGUAUGCAGAGACAACCCAUCGUGAACGUG